CCGAACAAAUUGUAUAAAAGUACCUAGGUGUGCCUAUAUAAUCUACACGUGCGCUGUUUGUAAAUAUGAAUUUAAUUAUUAUUUUUUUUUUAUAAUAAGUCUAUAACAGAUGGUGAUUGAGUACCGUAAAUUUUCGUUACAGCAUAUCGUUGUUAAAUGUAUACCACCACUUCGUUUUUUAACACCUGACCGACCCUUUUUAGAUGAAAUUAUGACUGCACCUAUGACAAUACCGCCACCAGGUGCAAUGUUUAGAUAU